GUAGUUAGCCGGGGCUUCCUCCUUGAGUACCGUCACUUCCUUCUUCCUCAAGGACAGAGGUUUACAAUCCGAGAACCUUCUUCCCUCACGCGGCGUUGCUGGGUCAGGCUUUCGCCCAUUGCCCAAUAUUCCCCACUGCUGCCUCCCGUAGGAGUCUGGGCCGUGUCUCAGUCCCAGUGUGGCCGAUCACCCUCUCAGGUCGGCUACCCAUCGUUGACUUGGUGGGCCGUUACCUCACCAACUAUCUAAUGGGACGCGAGCUCACCCCUCACCGGAUUUCUCCUUUGACCCCUUUGUCAUGUGACAUUGUGGUCUUAUGCGGUAUUAGCACCUGUUUCCAAGUGUUAUCCCCCUGUGAAGGACAGAUUGCUCACGCGUUACUCACCCGUCCGCCGCUAAAACAGAAACCGAAGCCUCUGUCUCCGCUCGACUUGCAUGUGUUAGGCACGCCGCCAGCGUUCAUCCUGAGCCAUGAUCAAACUCUGA
rnacentral:rRNA from 1 species